rnacentral:rRNA from 1 species
GAAUAUUGGACAAUGGGCGAAAGCCUGAUCCAGCAAUGCCGCGUGAGUGAUGAAGGCCUUAGGGUUGUAAAGCUCUUUUACCCGGGAUGAUAAUGACAGUACCGGGAGAAUAAGCCCCGGCUAACUCCGUGCCAGCAGCCGCGGUAACACGGAGGGCGCGAGCGUUGUUCGGAAUCACUGGGCGUAAAGCGCACGUAGGCGGUUGUGUAAGUCACUUGUGAAAACUCGGGGCUCAACUCCGAGACGCCAUGUGAGACUGCACGGCUAGAGCGCGGUAGAGGCAAGUGGAAUUCCCGGUGUAGCGGUGGAAUGCGUAGAUAUCGGGAAGAACACCAGUGGCGAAGGCGGCUUGCUGGGCCGUUGCUGACGCUGAGGUGCGAAAGCGUGGGGAGCAAACAGG